AAUGGCCUACGGGGCGCAGCAGUGGGGAAUAUUGCACAAUGGGGGGAACCCUGAUGCAGCGACGCCGCGUGAAGGAUGAAGUAUUUCGGUACGUAAACUUCUAUCAGCAGGGAAGAAAAUGACGGUACCUGACUAAGAAGCCCCGGCUAACUACGUGCCAGCAGCCGCGGUAAUACGUAGGGGGCAAGCGUUAUCCGGAUUUACUGGGUGUAAAGGGAGCGUAGACGGGCCAGCAAGUCUGAUGUGAAAACCCGGGGCCCAACCCCGGGAGUGCAUUGGAAACGGCGGGCCUGGAGUGCCGGGAG
rnacentral:rRNA from 1 species